CAAAUACACAGCAAAAUAUAUUCUCAUGAAUGUUUCUGUGAAUUACAUUUUACAGAUAAGAGGUGCACGUUAGGAUCUGGACCAAAGGAAGAUGAAGAAUCAUCUUGGGAUUCAGAUGAUGAGAAUGUUCCACAACCAGGGUUGACAAAGCCACUCACUGUUUCUCAGCAACCCAUGAAAAUUGGUGAGCUAUUUGAAGAUUUUCUAUUCUUGUGUUAUCUUUCGUUAUCUAGUUUAAAACGCUUUCACAUACUCUUUAUUUUUAUGGUAGUAGAGGCGCAAUGUACUAUGAGAACAGUAAAUAGAACUAUGAUUGAGGACAGUAUUUCUAAUCAUCUACAUGUGGUUCAACGCUUUCCCACCACAUCAGUCAAAAUGCAGGGCUUUCAUCAUCCUUCCAUUCAACCACCUGGCCCUGGUGUAAAAGCUUCCUUCAAGUCUUCAACUAAGCCAGGUCUUACAGAGGAGGAGAGAGCAAAGCCAGCUACUGCAAAACAGGAAAAUGGUAUUGGUGUUAUUGAACAUGCUCCACGAGAGCAAAAAAAUAAUGUCAGUUUUAAUGUAAUGCACGAAAAUAGCAGAAGUGGUAAGUUAGCGAAUCUCUCUGAAAAUUUUCCAUUCCUAAAUGCUGUUAGAAAGACACCAGUGAAAGUAUAUGGAUCCAAAUGUAAAAAUCAUUUGUUUCAAAUAUUUUUCUUUUGCUGUUUUACUUCAUACUACCAUCUUUGUUCUUUAAACUGCAUAAAGGAGGACCCAAUACUUGUAGGAGAACAGAAGAAACAGAGUGAAAUGCCAAGUGUAAAGCAUUCCUGAAUUUAAGAGAUGAAUCAAUCUAUGGGCCAAGGAAUGAAAUCAUUUUUUGUUAUUUUAGUUCAUUGAUAUAAAAAU
rnacentral:lncRNA from 1 species